GGAUGAUGAUGUGGCAGCAGGUCGCUGAAAUAAGUGGGCCUCUGUUCGUGGAAAAAAAUCCUAUGCGACCGGGUCGCACAAAGCUGAUCGUGAGACCCUGCCCCGCACGUGACACCUGGCGAUACGAAUCGUAAAGCAGCAGUCGUCUCGUUCCCCACUCCCCGUUCCCAAAUCACGAUUCCUAUCCACUUCAAUCUCUUCACAUUGCCGCCGGUGAGCUUAUCCCCGCAGGCCACUGCGAUGCUCCUGGGCGCCUCCACUUCCGGCACCGGCGGCGCACUAUGAACGCACCCCUUGGCUGCAAUCAAGCUUCUCGCCGACGGGAGCCGAGGAGCGUGUAGGCGUGGACAACGAGGAAGAGAGCAGCAGGGACGGUGCUCCGGUGCUUCCGCGAUAGAGCGAGCAGGAAGAGUUGCAGCGGCGGCGGCGGCGACGACGACGACGGCCGACAGGCGAGCUUGGGCGCCGGCGAAUGCAGAAUGGAAUUGGGGAUUUGUUAAACUGAGCGAGCAGGAUGAGUCGGGGGCCGAAACAGGAUUCAGCAUUGCUUUAAGAUUCGUUUGUCCAGGUGUCAGCCGAUGGAGAGGGUCUCACGUCCGGGGGCGUACGACCCCCGGGUCGUAUAAGAUUGUUUUCCCUCUGUUCGUCUCACUCUUGUUUCGUGUUCAUACUUUAGAGAAGAAAUCGCAAGGGCCGCAGCGCCGCCGUCCA